rnacentral:rRNA from 1 species
GUUAACGAGGCGAACCGGGGGAACUGAAACAUCUAAGUACCCCGAGGAAAAGAAAUCAACCGAGAUUCCCCCAGUAGCGGCGAGCGAACGGGGAGCAGCCCAGAGUCUGAAUCAGCUUGUGUGUUAGUGGAACGGUCUGGAAAGUCCGACGGUACAGGGUGAUAGUCCCGUACACCAAAAUGCACAGGCUGUGAACUCGAAGAGUAGGGCGGGACACGUGGUAUCCUGUCUGAAUAUGGGGGGACCAUCCUCCAAGGCUAAAUACUCCUGACUGACCGAUAGUGAACCAGUACCGUGAGGGAAAGGCGAAAAGAACCCCGGCGAGGGGAGUGAAAAAGAACCUGAAACCGUGUACGUACAAGCAGUGGGAGCACCUUCGGGUGUGACUGCGUACCUUUUGUAUAAUGGGUCAGCGACUUAUAUUCUGUAGCAAGGUUAACCGUAUAGGGGAGCCGCAGGGAAACCGAGUCUUAACUGGGCGUUAAGUUGCAGGGUAUAGACCCGAAACCCGGUGAUCUAGCCAUGGGCAGGUUGAAGGUUGGGUAACACUAACUGGAGGACCGAACCGACUAAUGUUGAAAAAUUAGCGGAUGACUUGUGGCUGGGGGUGAAAGGCCAAUCAAACCGGGAGAUAGCUGGUUCUCCCCGAAAGCUAUUUAGGUAGCGCCUCGUGAACUCAUCUUCGGGGGUAGAGCACUGUUUCGGCUAGGGGGUCAUCCCGACUUACCAACCCGAUGCAAACUACGAAUACCGAAGAAUGUUAUCACGGGAGACACACGGCGGGUGCUAACGUCCGUCGUGAAGAGGGAAACAACCCAGACCGCCAGCUAAGGUCCCAAAGUCAUGGUUAAGUGGGAAACGAUGUGGGAAGGCACAGACAGCCAGGAUGUUGGCUUAGAAGCAGCCAUCAUUUAAAGAAAGCGUAAUAGCUCACUGGUCGAGUCGGCCUGCGCGGAAGAUGUAACGGGGCUAAACCAUGCACCGAAGCUGCGGCAGCGACACUAUGUGUUGUUGGGUAGGGGAGCGUUCUGUAAGCCUGCGAAGGUG